AUGGCCGGAAGGAAGGGAGGCGACAGGAAGAAGGCGGUGACCAGGUCCGUCAAGGCCGGGCUCCAGUUCCCCGUCGGCCGCAUCGGGCGCUACCUCAAGAAGGGCCGCUAUGCCCAGCGCGUCGGCUCCGGCGCCCCCGUCUACCUCGCCGCCGUCCUCGAGUACCUCGCCGCUGAGGUCCUGGAGCUCGCCGGCAACGCGGCCAAGGACAACAAGAAGACCCGCAUCAUCCCGCGCCACCUGCUGCUCGCCGUCCGCAACGACCAGGAGCUCGGCAGGCUGCUCGCCGGCGUCACCAUCGCCCACGGCGGCGUGAUCCCCAACAUUAACUCCGUGCUGCUCCCCAAGAAGUCCCCCGCCGCCGCCGAGAAGGAGGCCAAGUCGCCCAAGAAGAAGACCUCCACCAAGUCCCCCAAGAAGAAGGUCGCUGCCAAGGAGUAG
rnacentral:rRNA from 1 species